CUCCAGUGAUGACUUUUGCUUUGUGCCACGUGUCUGGGCCACUUAACAUUCAUGAUGGUAUUGAGGAAAUGAAGGAG
rnacentral:snoRNA from 1 species